UAGCACCAAGAAAAAUUUUUAAUUGCACCAUAAUCUACAGUAGUGAGAGUGACUGUGAGACUAAUAAUAUGAGGAGAAAAAAACAAAUUGGAUAUGUUUGAUACUGGAAUGAUAAAAGGGUUAUAUAAAGUAAAAAACCUUCCGUGUCAAUUGAUUAUAACGCUCAUCAACCUGAUCACAUGCAAUAUAUUCAGGCCAGAUCGAAGCAAUGACAAUGGUAAAAACAGCCAUUAACCACAAAAAGGUUGCUGAGAAAUCGACAACUGGCCGGUUUGGAGAGUAAAGGAGGACUUCCACUGUAAGAAGAAAGGGAGUCUUAGUAACAAAUAUAAAGGGAAACUAGAAGUAACAAAGAACAUAUAAAAGAGAAUACAGUAAAGAGAUACCUAAAGUUAUCAGUAUGUUUCUACAUUGUACCAUCAUCUGAUUUACAAUUUAGAACAUUCAAAUAAAAGGCAAGAUAAAAAUAACAAAGUUGCCAGUCAAAUUUAUAGGCAUGCAUCAAAUGAUCAAAAUUAUUCAAUGUGGGGAUGGUAUCUGAUAUAUACAACUCUAAUAGGCAGUGGGGAGUGGCUGAAUCCUGAAAGUGCAUAUGACAAUGUUUGGCAGAGGAUAACACCUUUCCUAUCAUGCUAGAGGAUGAUUAAGCAAUGAAGUUGAUUAAGAAUGGGGAAAGGUCCCCAUUUUCCACAUACAGGAUCCUAUUCUGAGGUUUAUAACUUAACAAUUCAGUACAGAUUAAGGACAUAAAAUUAGUAAAAAAUACAUAAAGAGAGAUUUGGAAUUUAGAUUUCUAGUCAAGAUCUUCACAAUGAGAUUAAUAUUGCAAAAUCAAUGAUGGGUUAUUUGAACAUGAAGAACCACAUCUACUGCAUUGAACAUGAUCUAUUGCAUUUAGAAUACUCAAAAACCAAAAGUUUUACGUUUUGGAGGUCUCCAAUUUAGGCACCAAAUGAACACAGAUGAUUUGAGUGGCAUGACUCGUUAUUUGCUAUGAUCUACUGUUCAGAAGCAAGAAAACUUAUGUUCUUACAUGUUUCAAUUCAUACAAAUUUAAGAUGCAUCAACUGUAUUAAUUUUAAAUCCAUAUAACCUAUCAUAACACUUUAGUAGCAUAACACUGUAAAUACCAUUUACUUUUGUUUCCCACUUGAAACAUAGGAAGGACACCUCACAAAACAUAUGGAUUCUUUUGCACAUCAUGGCCAAUGGGGUGGAUCUGUAAUCUCCAUAAUUUAUCUUUUUUUUUUGCAUUAAUUCUAGAUCAUGACAAAUGCACCUGCUCGGCUGUAUCAAAAAAGAAAAAGAAAUUUAGAAAGAAGAUAUAAAAUAAAAAACCUUUAUAGUUAGAUAUUUUAAAUAAUAUGAUGGGUUUUAUCCUGACACUGUGCUAGUAAUGGUUGGGCAUCAACCAGCACUUAAAAUGGAAAGAACGUCGACGACUCUAUUGAGAUUGGAUCAAGAACAUUAAAGAAGCUAUUCCAUAUCAUCGAGCUUUUUUUGCCACGAUAGUGAGCAAGAUCUAAAAUCUCAAAUCUCAAGAUUGAAACAUAAUCUGAAGACUGUCUUUGAAGUUGUCCUCUCUAAAAAGGUUGUUUAUAUGAAUUAAUUUGGUUGUGGUAAAUAAAUCAGCAACUUGACAGAUUGAUUUUCCAGAACUUUCCAAGUGGAAGGACACAGGUAGAAACUAGAAAAUGAUCUUGUUUUAUAAUAAUGUUAAAAAUCAUGCAAUAUAGCAGCCAAGGUAAAUUUCAAAAUAAAUAUUAGAUACUAGUAGCAAGGAUACUACCCAGUAUACCAUGAGGUUGGGUGGCAUCCAGUUGCCUCCAACCUGGACCCAUACCCAUAGGAAGUUCAGGUCUAAACUUUUGACCCAAAAUCCGCCCAUCAAGAAUCAUGAACCCAGAUAGUUGAGACUUGAGACUUUACAACACCCAGCAGGGCAGGUCUACGGGUCAGAUCUGAAUAUGUUGAGACCCAUACACUACCCAACAUUCGUUGGGUUUGAAUCAAGGAUCAUGUCUGGGUCUUCAAAGUGGGUAUUCAUAAGCUCGAUUCCUUUCAUGCACUCAAAAUGAUUCACUAGUGACAGAGGUUCGAAGUAUAUUUAAUAGAUUUUAUAAGAAAAAUGAAAGGUGUAAAAGUAAACUACUGAGGUGCAGAUUGGCUUGGGUUAGAUCGGAUCAGGUUCACAGAGAUUAGUCCUGUACCCUAAAUAUAUUAUAUGAUCAGGUUAGAUCAGGUCCAAGUCCAGUGCAAUUUCACUAGAACCAGAUCUGACCUCAGUUUUUUUUAGGGACCUAUAUUUGAACCACAUUUGACCCAUAACCCUAUGGGUUUGGAUCAGGUCUGUCUAGGAUCUGGUCUUAUGAGUUUUUGUGGCAGGCCUACAAGCUGCUUCAUUAAAAAAAGUGAUAGAAUAAGCUCUACUACUAGAAACUUUAUUCUUCACAACAGUUUUCUCUAAACAAAUUGUAAUAUUUGAAUUUCUUAAUAAAAAAAUUGACUGUGAACAAGCAUUCAGAUGAGACCAAAGAAACCAUAUAUUUUAGAGUCGCAACCAUUUAUUCUUUUAACCUAAAUGCUUUAUUAGCUGAACCAUACACAAACAUCCAAUCUAACUAUGAUAAAUUUCUUUCCUCAAAAAAGAAAAAAGAAAUAUGAUGGCUUUCCAUAAAAUCAUAUUGAAAAGAUGACAUUAGAUGGUUUUAAUAUUCAUUAACAGCUACAAAUUCAAAUUUUUCAUAAAACAAAUUGACUGUGAACAAACAUUCAGAUGAGACCUAAAAAAAACGUAAAUCUUAUUGUCACAACCAUUUAUUCUUUUAAACCCAGAGCUUUAUUCAAUGAACCAUACACAAAGAGCCAAUCUAACUACGAUAAGUUUCUUUCCUCAAAAGACAAAGAAGUAUGAUGACUUUCCCUAAAAACGUAUUGAAAUGAUGACAUUAGAUGACUUUGAUAUUCAUUCACAAUGUGAGAUAAUUGUUCUUGGGUCUGAAACAAAUUCAAUGAAGAUCCAAAUCAUUAUAAUCAGUGCUCAGUGAUGACUGGAGCUAAUAUCCAAAUAUAGUCCAUUUAUAUACAAGCAUGCAAGAAUAUAGAUAUGAGAUUAUCUCCUAUAUAUAUCCCUUAUUGUACUUCUUGCAAUUUUAUGUUAAACAUUAAUACACUGGAAGAUACCCCAAAUCAACUAAAUAAUUGACAGAUAUUCCACUAUGAAUGAGGGAGCAAAAUGGGAACAAAGAAAUAUUUGAUGCAUUAAUACAACUAAAUAUUGUGUGUGCGCCAUGUGUAUGCGAGUGUAGAGAGAGAGAGAGACACUAUAAAACCCAGAUAUCUCUAAAAACUAUGAAACCAAGAUAUCCCUAAACACUUCUGAAAGAUUUUGAAAAAGAACCAAGAGAGUUUUAAUGUUCUUUGAGUCAAGUCAUAAAUAAUAUCUCUUAAGCAUCAUCUCAAACCAUGCAAAAUUUCCCAAAAUUCUUCUUGCAAUUUCAGAGCGGAAGAUUUAAGAGGAACUCACAUAAUAACUUUUUUGUAGAUAUAACCAUGAAGACUUUUCCAACAACUUACUAUCAAAAUUUAACAAAAAGAAGUUAAUUCCCACACAGAAUCAAAGGUAAUUCAGGUCCUAAAAUGACUCAGAAAUUAUUGAUUCAUUCUGUUAAAAUGAAAAACUUGUGAAGAUAUUCAUAUGGUUGUUGGAUUUGAUUUUAAUCUCUAAAGAGCAAAAGGCUGAAAACGAUAUCAUAGGUGUUAUCAGUUAAGUACCUAGACACGGAUAAGGGCGCAAUUGUGUUGACUGGAACUCAGCUCCAUCCAAAGCAAACAAAUAUCCAAUGUUAAGACACAUGGAUCAAGCAUGGGUCCAAAAUUUAGGAACCAAUGACCAAUAGGAUUGAGUAUGGAUCAGGGUUUUAAUUACCAACCGGACGGUGGGGCAUCCCACCAUCUUGAGCAUUGGGAUAUCACAAGUCAAGAAAAUGGGAUCAUCACCAUCCUAAGUUUCAGCACAAGGCAUCUCGUUCCAUGCAAGGUCUGCCGUACCCGCCCGUACUGGCCGGUACAUACCGAUACCGCCCUGAACCAGUACCGAAUCAGCAUGAAAUUUGGUACUGAAAGCUUAUCGUUGGAGAACCGGUACGGGGCCAGUAUGUGAAACCCCAAAACUCGACCAUUCAACGGAACCGAUACGGAGCCGGUACGGACCAGUCCGUGUCAAUUGAUUAUAACGCUCAUCAACCUGAUCACAUGCAAUAUAUUCAGGCCAGAUCGAAGCAAUGACAAUGGUAAAAACAGCCAUUAACCACAAAAAGGUUGCUGAGAAAUCGACAACUGGCCGGUUUGGAGAGUAAAGGAGGACUUCCAUACCAUACCAGUACUGCCCACUAUC
rnacentral:lncRNA from 1 species